AGCAGUGUAUCAACGCAAAGUUCACAGGGGCGGAUCUAGGCCAUGGCGAAAGUGGCUUGAGCCACGGUCAGAAUUCUGCCACUUAAGUUUUUCCAGGGUUGACUUUUUCAUGAUUAAAAAUUUUGCUCAAAUACAGCAAAAUUCGAUCAAAAGCAAAAAUUGAAUGAAUUUUGUAAUUUUUUGUCAAAAAUUUGUGUUAACAGAACAAAAACUUCAAAUUAAACGUCUUGUUAAAAUAGUAUUAUCAUCCAGUUAAA